CUGCUCUGGCAUGAGGUCCUCCACAGGCUGCAGGGAAAUACCUGCUUCACCAUGGUCUCCUUCAUGGGCUGCAGGGGAUUCUCUGCUCAGGUGCCUGGAUCACCUCUUCCCCCUCCUCCUUCUUAUCACAGAGGUGCUACUGUUGCUGAUUGGCUCAGAUUUGGCCAGCAGCAGGUCCGUCUUGGAGCCGGCUGGAACUGGCUCUGUCUGGCACGAAGGCAGCCCCUGGUGUCUUUUCACAGAGGCCAACCCUGCAGCUCCCUGCCCGCGCUACCAAAAACAUAAACCCAAUAAACCUUGAUAGUCUUUACCUAAAAGGUUUUCCUUUUGAAUUUCCUGCUGCUUUUCUGUUUCUGUCCUUAGCUUGAUAUGGUGACUGACACUUAUCUUACUUUCUGUUUAAGGUAGCUUUUCUAGACUUGGAAAGCAAAUAACACCUCUUCCUAAUAGUCUUCUCUGUUGGCUGAUAGGCUGAGGAGUCUUGGAUGGGAAUCUUGGGAAAAGUAAACUUAUCUUGAAGGAACUCCCUGCAUCUCUGGGAUACUAUUGGUAGCCCUGGAGAACAGCCUUUGCUCAGCAUUUUAUAUGCUCCUUCGAACAGAUACAGUAGAUAAUGAUUGGCAGUAGAUAACAGAUUAUGCAAGCAACUUGUAGAGGCUGCCUUAUGAUCUUGCUACUCUGAAGCUCUUCACUCAGGGCUAAUAUUGUGCCACACAUUUUGCAAAUGCCCCAGGGGCCAGGUCUGUACAGUCUGGUUUUCAUUGUACCAUCAGUAAUUAUGACCUGAAAAACCCUGUGUUGUUGACAAACUGUAGGGUUCAAUAUAGUGUUCAUUAUGUGAUUCUGGACUGGUAGUUUUAUUCAUAGGAAACCAUUCAAAGUGAAUGUGAUUGUCUCUUGAGGAAUGUGAAAUAUAUGGCUGAAAAAUGCUUAUCUAGAUCCCCCUUUUCUUACAAGUAAUCUUCUAGGUCAUAUUCCUUUGGUUCCCCCUACAUCUGUGAAAUUCUUAGCCACAAACCCUAUCACCUCUGUAUUGCUCAGCUAUUGAACUUUGGAGGAAGGCAGCGGGGAAUAAAUUACUACCUAGGCCACAGGACAAUGUAAGUGGGAGCUCAGUUAAAGCAGUGGGUUAUUGAGAGAACAAGUUGCUUUGUUGCAUUCUUGAUUCAGCUCUAUUUAGUUAGUUAGUUAGUUAUGAUACUAGCUUGAUAAUUUGAUUAGAAAUACUCAGUGCAGAUCUUUGGACAUUAACAUGUACCAGAAAUAUAGCAUAGUAAGAUAUGUAGCAAAGAGCACAUUGUCAGUCUCAGCUCAGAGUUAUUGUUCAACAGGUUUUUAUAACUUCAGAAUUAAAAUAGAAAUGCUGGUAAAAGAGGCAUACUGUAUGUAACAAGAAACAGUUGAAGAAUUUUUUUUAAAAAAACAUUUAUUGACAAAUGCCUUAUUAGGUAUUCCCUUGAAAAUUCAGUUAUCAAUAAUGUAUUACACACAAGUUACAAACACAAUCUUUUUCUUGUUUUUCAGGAGUAAAACACUAGUCUAAACUAUGAUUUUCUUUUUUAAAAGUGAAUGACAGCUUCAAGACCAAGAAGUCUGGUUUCAAUGCUUAAAGAUAGAA